rnacentral:rRNA from 1 species
GGUCAUCGGAGGACUCCAACCCAUGUGACCAUACCAAACUGUUGCCUCGGCGGGGUCACGCCCCGGGUGCGUCGCAGCCCCGGAACCAGGCGCCCGCCGGAGGGACCAACCAAACUCUUUCUGUAGUCCCCUCGCGGACGUUAUUUCUUACAGCUCUGAGCAAAAAUUCAAAAUGAAUCAAAACUUUCAACAACGGAUCUCUUGGUUCUGGCAUCGAUGAAGAACGCAGCGAAAUGCGAUAAGUAAUGUGAAUUGCAGAAUUCAGUGAAUCAUCGAAUCUUUGAACGCACAUUGCGCCCGCCAGUAUUCUGGCGGGCAUGCCUGUCCGAGCGUCAUUUCAACCCUCGAACCCCUCCGGGGGGUCGGCGUUGGGGAUCGGGAACCCCUAAGACGGGAUCCCGGCCCCGAAAUACAGUGGCGGUCUCGCCGCAGCCUCUCCUGCGCAGUAGUUUGCACAACUCGCACCGGGAGCGCGGCGCGUCCACGUCCGUAAAACACCCAACUUCUGAAAUGUUGACCUCGGAUCAGGUAGGAAUACCCGCUGAACUUAAGCAUAU